rnacentral:rRNA from 1 species
UACGGAGGAUCCAAGCGUUAUCCGGAUUUAUUGGGUUUAAAGGGAGCGUAGGCGGCCUGUUAAGUCAGGGGUGAAAGACGGUGGCUCAACCAUCGCAGUGCCUUUGAUACUGACAGGCUUGAAUGUAGUUGAGGUGGGCGGAAUGUGACAAGUAGAGGUGAAAUGCAUAGAUAUGUCACAGAACACCGAUUGCGAAGGCAGCUCACUAAGCUAUGAUUGACGCUGAGGCACGAAAGCGUGGGGAGCAAACAGG